rnacentral:lncRNA from 1 species
AGCAUUCUUAAGUUUCUUAAUGUGAGUCUAUACGUUGUAACUUAUCGAAAUAAGUUUCUAUGAUUUACUGAGAUAGGCACUGUUUCAACUGCUAAAUUGAAAUAAAUCACCAUAGGGUGACCAGAGUUCUCAGAAGCUUAUUGUCUGAGAUAGGUAUUGAAUGGACACACUUAAGCGACUAGACAGAGGGAGCUUUUUUGCUUUUAGGGGUAUUUGAAUUCAAUUCAGUGAUGGAGGAAGUAAAGACACAGAGACAAAUAAUUUAUCCAUAGGAUACAAAAAGUGUAAACAGACUACCAAACAUCUUGCAUUUAUACUUAAUUUUGUCCUAACAAUCAAAAAAAUGUGAAAAAAUACUUUGGAAAGAGAUAUGGAAAUUGUAAAAGAUAGUCAAGCAUAAUUAUCUUUAAAAGAAAAUGCCAUCAAGCAUUUGAUUACAGAAGAUUACCAAAAAAUCACUUUAAUUUUAAAUCAUUUUUGUCUUUAUCAACUUUUUAUCGUAUCUUUUAUCCUUGUAAAUGUCUAGCAUAAUUAUGAAAUUGAGAAGUAGAAAAUGUUUAUCUUCUUUUAUGAUGAUUGAGAGUCUGUUCUUUAUCUAAUACAGAUAAUUUCAGUCAAAAGCUCCACUGUGUCAAUUGUCAAGAUACAAUAUUCACCAUAGGUAAAAAAAGUCACUGAUUCAACUUAAUUUCAAUUGAUUUUUUUCUAUCAGUUUCAAAAACUAUUUUUUUUUCUUCAUUAGUGACUUCAUUUAUACUUUAAAACCAUGAAUAUUAUUGGAACCAUUAAAAAUAAAGAGGUAAAUUAUUUUAUAAUUAGUUUACCAAAUAGCAAUUGUGAAAAAAAGGCCUGUUAACA